GAGUUUGAUCUUGGCUCAGAACGAACGCUGGCGGCAGGCUUAACACAUGCAAGUCGAACGGGCGCAGCAAUGCGUCAGUGGCAGACGGGUGAGUAACGCGUGGGAACGUGCCCUUCGGUUCGGAAUAACCCGGGGAAACUCGGGCUAAUACCGGAUACGUCCGCAAGGAGAAAGAUUUAUCGCCGAAGGAUCGGCCCGCGUCCGAUUAGCUAGUUGGCGGGGUAAUGGCCUACCAAGGCGACGAUCGGUAGCUGGUCUGAGAGGAUGAUCAGCCACACUGGGACUGAGACACGGCCCAGACUCCUACGGGAGGCAGCAGUGGGGAAUAUUGGACAAUGGGCGAAAGCCUGAUCCAGCCAUGCCGCGUGAGUGAAGAAGGCCUUAGGGUUGUAAAGCUCUUUCAGCGGGGAAGAUAAUGACGGUACCCGCAGAAGAAGCCCGGCUAACUUCGUGCCAGCCGCCGCCGUAAC
rnacentral:rRNA from 1 species